GCCGAAGUGGCGGAAUAGGCAGACGCGCUACGUUCAGGGCGUAGUGACCGCAAGGUCGUGUGGGUUCGACUCCCACCUUCGGCACCA
rnacentral:tRNA from 1 species